AUUAAUCUACACAUAAUCAACAAUUGAUAUGGAGUAAUCUUCUCCGAUUAAUCUAAAGGUAAUUGAUAUAAGUCCAUUAUGUUCUCAAUUUUCUCAAUUUCCUUUGCUUAUUUCUUCUCUUUCUCUCUUUCUCUCACCAAGCCCUAAUGUUUGCACUGAAUUUCAAUUCCCAAACCUUCAGUCUUUUUCUCGCCAAUCCCGAAUGAAUGCUAAUCCGCAUCCGCCACCAUCACCACCACCAUAUGAAUGAAUGCUAAUUUCUAAACAUUCGGUCUUUCUCUCGCCAAUCUCUAUCCCUCUCCCUGUCUCUCUGUCUCUAUCAAGAGUUGAUGAUUUGAUCUGAUGAAUACGAUAUCCUCAAUAUCUUCCCCAAAGUUGAUCAUUCUAAGGUAUUCUUUAUGUGAUUUUAUUCAAAAAAAAUUUAACUAAUUUAAGUUUGAGUAUUAAUCGCUUGUUGGAUUAUGUUCAAUUUUAAUUUGACCUAAUUUUACUUUAUUUUGGUGGUCUUAUGAAUAUGAUUUUUGGUCUAUGCGUUCUUAUCUGUUGGCGAUAGAUAUAUCUCUAAUCUAUAUACCAAAUGCUUUUGUUCAACAAUGUCUAUUGUUUAGGGGUUGCUUGUAAUACACAAAAUUCAUCCAUGUUUUCCAUUUGUCAAAGUAGAAUUCACAGGAUCUAUUUGUUUAACUCGAAUUAUAGACAUUGCUCACAACAUCUAUUUCUUUUAACAG
rnacentral:lncRNA from 1 species